CUCACCUCAAUCAGGCUGCAGACUCUUUUGCAUUCAGACUCUCCUGUGUAUUUUUCUUCCCCACUCCACAGGCCGGUAACACUGCUACCCGUUUCCCCUGAGCUGCGCCUAAGCAUUCUCCAUCCCUCGGCAUGGUUGUCCAAAACCUGCCGACUCCAUCAACUGCAGCAAGCAAAGCCAACCCUCAGCUCCACAAGACCGAGCCGCUCUGAUCAUCACGUAGGCAUAUUCCACAGGUGCCUGGCUGUUUUCUCCUUCAGACUACUGGGCGAGCCGGAGAGGCGGUGCAGUCUCCUCUACUAGAGAUUUUUAAAAGCAGGUUAGACAGGCAUCUGCCAAUGGAUGGUCUAGGUAUACUGGAUUUUGCCUUAAGAUGCGGCAAGAUGAUCUCUUGAGGCUCCUCCCAGCCCUGCAUUUCUAUGAUGCUCCAGUUCCCAGUUGCCUCCAAAUACAGCCUGGGGAGGAAGCAGAGCCAUCCAGUGACUGCCAGCCUGAUGGCAAAGCGCCCAACACAGCUGGGAACUGGGAACCAAGCUGGUCAGCUGCAAGGAUUUGUACGGCACCCUCAAAAUACCUCCCCGGCUCUGUUGGAUGAUUCUGGAGGCCCCAGGUCCAAGCAAACAUUAUCUGACAGAAGCACUGCUGUGAAUGCACCUGCAUGCACAGUUUAGCUGUGGCCAUUUGUUAGGGAGGAUGUCAUCGCCGCAGGAGUUCACCACUCGUAGCCUAACUGGAGUGGCCAACCAUCUUUUUUCAGAAGUACCUUGCUUGGCACUUAAUAUCCCCUGACCUGCAGGUUCCCAAGCAAGGAUCACAUAACAGGUGGGUGUCUGCACCAUGGUGGGCACAGCCUCCAAGAGAUAAAUAAGCAUUGUCCUGAAGUUUUCAUAGUUAUUUUUCCAUCUCCUCAGUUCAGAGGUGGCUAACAUGGGUCUGUUUGAUACCUAUCUAUGGGGGCCAGGAUCUGGGAUUCAGGGCAGCUUUCUGCCUAUUUUUUGCAAGAACAUGUAUCUCCUUUGGAUGAUUGUUCAGGGGGCUCCUGAUACCUGCAGAGAGUCCCUGGUGUCUUACCUUCCUGACGGCAGAGAGGAAGCACCAAGCCACUUAGAGCGCCUGUUUGCAGCCUCCCUUCCCAGCACACGUGGCUGCUGCUGCAUCUACCUCUUGCCAGAGCUGUUGGUUAAACAGAACGUGAACAAUUUGAGAGCCCUUCCCAGACGGACCGGGGAGCAACCAGCUCAUGCUCCAGCACCCUCCCUCCCCACACCAUGGCUUCCCUUCUCCAAACCCACCCCUUACUGACCACCGUGAUCAUUGUACAGCUGGGGUGCAGACCCCCAAGCAAGCAUUAAUACAGAAGCCCGUAAUGUGCCGGUGACAACAUUGACCUUACACCCACCCAUGCCAGCAACAGAACCCACUGGGAAAAAACCUACCCAGCCACCAUACACAAUGCACCCUCCAAGGACUUCCUUCUCCGCAAGCGGAGUUGGAUGGAACCCAAUUUCCUGUUCAUCCAGCCAGCCACAUUUCCCAGCAUUGCACAAGGGCUCAGUGUCAAGUAGGAUGCCCAGGAAGGGUUAAUUUGUCCAAGGCAGCCUCUUGCACAAGUGGUUUGCAAGGGUGCCCUCAGGGGUAAGAGCAGCCAAUUAAAAUUUGCCCUGAUGAAGUCAUGCUGGUAAAUGGAUACCCUGCUGGGGCAGGCUGGUGGGUGGAGUUUCAGUGGAACCCACAGAACCAGAAGUCGCCCACCCCGGUUUGCUCAGGCAGUUUCAAUUAAGCUCAAAGGAAUUACACCUUUAAGUUUAAUACAAUUAGCAGAUCUUUGUCUAGCUUGACUGUGGACUUAUAAUAACUUUGAUCCCUGUGUGAAAGGCCUGUCUAAUAAUACCUCGCUCUUACAUUAUGCUUUGCAUCGGUAGAUCACGCAGUGCUUUACAAAGGAAGUCAGUUUAACACUCCCCAUUUUACACACGGGGAAACCGAGGCACAGAGAAGGGUGAGUUUGGCCAAACUCACUCAGUUGGUCAGUGGCAGCGCCCAGGUCUUCUGCAUCCCUGGCCACUUUCUUCCUUUGUUUCCAUGGACCAAGGAUUUGAGUGGUGCGUGGCACCAGGGUGCCUCAAACAUGGAAUCACAUUUUAAUUGAGCGAUUACCUCCUGGACACCUGCCUUCAAUUCACCAGACCAUUGUAUGAGCUAGACCACUUGCUUACAUGGAAAAGUCAUAUUAGGAAAGUAGGCGAUGUAUUUUUAACCAUCUGUAAUACAAUUCAGCAACUGGAAACAAGGAAGAAAGCCAACGCCAUGCAACCAGGCUGUCCACAAGCAAGUAAUCCACAGACAAUCUGGGGACCCCUGUAUACCAGCAUUUUUGAUACAGCAAGAGAUCUUGUAUUGAGAAAGAGUAGCCAAGAGCCUUGUAUCAGAGGCAGCUGCAUGAAAGCCUACGUAUGGAGUAAAAGAGCAGUCCUUGACUUGAACCCAAUAGGAAGGCUGACAACCCCAGUGGCACCAGACAUGACAAAAACAUCCCUUAAACCAAUGUACUGCUUAUGCCUGCAAAUACCCAGGGCUGUAGGUGAGCUGACUUCCAGGCAAGCUUGGCACAUGGGGCUGGAAUGCUUUUGAAAAGCUUUCCAAGGGGGCAGGGGGGUCACAGAAGGCCCUGCUAGAAGCUGAGCUGUUUAGAAAGUCUGGCCCUGACUGGGUGCUUAUCCACAUGAAAUUCUGCCCUCCCAGCUACAUUUUCAAACGCAGGUUCCUGUUGUGCCUGCAAAUGCCUCGCUUUGUGCAUAAAUUGGGUAACUCUGCACCUACAGUCUCAUUUGCAUGUGCAGUUUCCCAAUUUGUGCACAGAAAAGCCUGUUUCCACAUGCAGCUGCAGGGGGUGGGUGUGAUGGAUGUGUGUGCAAAUUUUGCAAGCACAAGGGAGGCCUUUGCUUUUGAGAACAUAGCUGCUAAUAUUUCGCUGUGACUGUAGGAGCAGCGAGCAGCCUCUCGCAUGCAUUUUUCUUGCGACUAUCAGCCAUUUCCAGAGAGCCAAUCUUUGCUUUUGUUGUAACCUUUGAAGUUACAGUUUGACUCUCACAUUGUCAUCACCGAUCUUAAAUGCCGAGUCCAUCAGUCAAUGGCUGAAGUGGGUGGCAGAGGACAGGGGAUGCCUGGGAUGCGUUGAUGUAGUCUCCAUCAUUCUCACUGAAUGCACUUCUGAAAGGCACUUGAAAUACUGUGAUGGGGGUGGGACAAGAGUCUAUAUAAAACAGAACAUAAUUCUGGGACACGUGCUCAUCCUGCUGUCAGCAUUCCUCAAGCAAGACACUAGUUUGUUAUUCAUUGGGAGGGUCUUGCGAGUGAAAUCAUCAGGUAUUGCACCUUCGCAAGCUACACGGAGUCCAACCGGGUCUCCCAGGUAGACACCAGGUUGUUAGGGCUGUGCUACAAUAACUGAGUACUUGGGAAUUUCUGUCUCGUUGCCCAGUAUGCUUUGCACCCAGGUUCUUUGCACAAUUCGUUCUCAAGAACAGUCUGAUCUUGUUGAAUGAAUAUUCAGGCUCAGGAUUGUUGCAUACAGGAGGAGCUCCAGGGUCAAGAAAGUCCAGAGAUUGAUUGAAACAUGUAAUAAAAGGCAGGUUCCAUGAGAUGGUAGAAAUUCUUCACUUUGGCAGCCGCAGAGUCGAAUCAAAGGCUGGAAAUAAAGGGGACAUGCUCAUA